rnacentral:tRNA from 1 species
UCCCCAUAGCUCAGUUGGUAAAGAAUCUGUCUGCAAUGCAGGAGACCCUGGUUCGAUUCCUGGGUUGGGAA